rnacentral:rRNA from 1 species
AUUGAACGCUGGCGGCAGGCCUAACACAUGCAAGUCGAACGGUAACAGGAAGAAUCUUGCUUCUUUGCUGACGAGUGGCGGACGGGUGAGUAAUGUCUGGGAAACUGCCUGAUGGAGGGGGAUAACUACUGGAAACGGUAGCUAAUACCGCAUAACGUCGCAAGACCAAAGAGGGGGACCUUGGGGCCCCUUGUCAUCGGAUGUGCCCAGAUGGGAUUAGCUAGUAGGUGGGGUAACGGCUCACCUAGGCGACGAUCCCUAGCUGGUCUGAGGGGAUGACCAGACACCCUGGAACUGAGACACGGUCCAGACUCCUACGGGAGGAAGCAGUGGGGAAUAUUGCACAAUGGGGGCAAGCCUGAUGCAGCCAUGCCGCGUGUAUGAAGAAGGCGUUCGGGUUGUAAAGUACUUUCAGCGGGGAGGAAGGGAGUAAAGUUAAUACCCUUGCUCAUUGACGGUACCCGCAGAAGAAGCACCGGCUAACUCCGUG